UGGGGAAUAUUGGACAAUGGGCGAAAGCCUGAUCCAGCAAUGCCGCGUGAGUGAAGAAGGUCUUCGGAUUGUAAAGCUCUUUCACGGGUGAAGAUAAUGACGGUAACCCGAGAAGAAGCCCCGGCUAACUUCGUGCCAGCAGCCGCGGUAAUACGAAGGGGGCUAGCGUUGUUCGGAAUUACUGGGCGUAAAGGGCGCGUAGGCGGUCUGUCAAGUUAGGUGUGAAAGCCCUGGGCUCAACCCAGGAACUGCAUUUAAGACUGGCAGGCUAGAGAUCUAGAGGGGAUAGUGGAAUUCCAAGUGUAGAGGUGAAAUUCGUAGAUAUUUGGAGGAACACCAGUGGCGAAGGCGACUAUCUGGCUAGAAUCUGACGCUGAGGCGCGAUAGCGUGGGGAGCAAACA
rnacentral:rRNA from 1 species